AUUGAACGCUGGCGGAAUGCUUUACACAUGCAAGUCGAACGGCAGCACGGACUUCGGUCUGGUGGCGAGUGGCGAACGGGUGAGUAAUGUAUCGGAACGUGCCCAGUCGUGGGGGAUAACGUAGUGAAAAUUACGCUAAUACCGCAUACGAUCUAUGGAUGAAGGCGGGGGAUCGCAAGACCUCGCGCGAUAGGAGCGGCCGAUAUCAGAUUAGGUAGUUGAUGGGGUAAAGGCCCACCAAGCCAACGAUCUGUAGCUGGUCUGAGAGGACGACCAGCCACACUGGAACUGAGACACGGUCCAGACUCCUACGGGAGGCAGCAGUGGGGAAUUUUGGACAAUGGGCGAAAGCCUGAUCCAGCCAUUCCGCGUGCAGGAUGGAGGCCCUCGGGUUGUAAACUGCUUUUGUACAGAACGAAAAGGUUUCUACUAAUACUAGGAGCUCAUGACGGUGCUGUAAGAAUAAGCACCGGCUAACUACGUGCCAGCCGCCGCCGUAA
rnacentral:rRNA from 1 species